rnacentral:rRNA from 1 species
CAGCAGCCACGGUAAUACGUAGGUCCCGAGCGUUGUCCGGAUUUAUUGGGCGUAAAGCGAGCGCAGGCGGUUAGAUAAGUCUGAAGUUAAAGGCUGUGGCUUAACCAUAGUACGCUUUGGAAACUGUUUAACUUGAGUGCAAGAGGGGAGAGUGGAAUUCCAUGUGUAGCGGUGAAAUGCGUAGAUAUAUGGAGGAACACCGGUGGCGAAAGCGGCUCUCUGGCUUGUAACUGACGCUGAGGCUCAAAAGCGUGGGGAGCAAACAGGAUUAGAUACCCGAGUAGUCCCUGUCUCUUAUACA